GACGAACGCUGGCGGCGUGCUUAACACAUGCAAGUCGAACGGAGUGGCGAACGGGUGAGUAACACGUGGGUGAUCUGCCUUGCACUUCGGGAUAAGCUUGGGAAACUGGGUCUAAUACCGGAUAGUGCAAGAUGAGCUCGGGGCCAAUCAGCUUGUUGGUGGGGUAAUGGCCUACCAAGGCGUCGACGGGUAGCCGGCCUGGGAGGGUGUACGGGCACAUUGGGACUGAGAUACGGCCCAGAGUCCUACGGGCGGCAUGAGUGAGGAAUAUUGCACAAUGGGCGGAGGCCUGAUGCAGCGACGCCGGGUGGUGGAGGUAGGCCUUCGGGUUGUAAACUCCUUUCGACAGGGACGCGGUACCUGUAUAGGAAGCACCGGCUAACUACGUGCCAGCAGCCGCGGUAAUAC
rnacentral:rRNA from 1 species